rnacentral:rRNA from 1 species
UUGUUCGCAAUGGGCGCAAGCCUGACGACGCAACGCCGCGUGGGGGAUGAAGGUCUUCGGAUCGUAAACCCCUGUCGAGUGGGACGAAUGGCCCGCGGUCCAAUACAUCGCGGGAGUGACGGUACCACUAAAGGAAGCCACGGCUAACUCUGUGCCAGCAGCCGCGGUAAUACAGAGGUGGCGAGCGUUGUUCGGAAUUACUGGGCGUAAAGGGCGCGUAGGCGGCCUGCUAAGUCAGACGUGAAAUCCCCCGGCUCAACCUGGGAACUGCGUCUGAUACUGGUGGGCUUGAAUGCGGGAGAGGGAUGCAGAAUUCCAGGUGUAGCGGUGAAAUGCGUAGAUAUCUGGAGGAAUACCGGUGGCGAAGGCGGCAUCCUGGACCGACAUUGACGCUGAGGCGCGAAAGCUAGGGUAGCAAACGGG